rnacentral:rRNA from 1 species
CCCGGGUCUUGUACACACCGCCCGUCACACCAUGGGAGUGGAAUCCGCCAGAAGUAGGUAGUCUAACCGCAAGGGGGACGCUUACCACGGUAGGUUCAUGACUGGGGUG